UAACAUUCAGGGCAUCACCAAGCCUGCCAUC
rnacentral:piRNA from 1 species